GAACGCACCUUGCGCCCGCCAGUACUCUGGCGGGCAUGCCUGUUCGAGCGUCAUUUCAACCCUCAAGCCCUGCUUGGUGUUGGGGCCCUACGGCUGCCGUAGGCCCUGAAAGGAAGUGGCGGGCUCGCUACAACUCCGAGCGUAGUAGAAUCCUAUCUCGCUAGGGAGGUGCGGCGUGCUCCUGCCGUUAAAGACCCCAUCUUUAACCAAGGUUGACCUCGGAUCAGGUAGGAAUACCCGCUGAACUUAAG
rnacentral:misc_RNA from 1 species